GAUGAAGAACGCAGCGAAAUGCGAUAAGUAAUGUGAAUUGCAGAAUUCAGUGAAUCAUCGAAUCUUUGAACGCACAUUGCGCCCGCCAGUAUUCUGGCGGGCAUGCCUGUUCGAGCGUCAUUACAACCCUCAGGCCCCCGGGCCUGGCGUUGAGGAUCGGCGGAAGCCCCCUGCGGGCACAACGCCGUCCCCCAAAUACAGUGGCGGUCCCGCCGCAGCUUCCAUUGCGUAGUAGCUAACACCUCGCAACUGGAGAGCGGCGCGGCCACGCCGUAAAACACCCAACUUCUGAAUGUUGACCUCGAAUCAGGUAGGAAUACCCGCUGAACUUAAGCAUAUCAAUAAGCGGAGGA
rnacentral:misc_RNA from 1 species